ensembl:lncRNA
CUGAGGCGGAGCGGGGCUGAGGCGGGGCCGGGCCGGGCCUGAGCGGGGUCGGGACGGACGGAACUCACAAAAAAGCCCCACGAGCCUCAGGGGUGUAGCCGGGGCUCGUUGGCCUCUUUCCGGCGUCCGGGGACUGGCCGAGCUGUACGUGGGACGGAGCCCGGCUGCCUCAGCCCGGAGCGCGGCCGGACGGGCUCCAAGGUGAAUAACGGGAGGUGCGAGGGGCCGGAGCAGCGUCCUGGCCCCAGUGAAUGUGCUGGGCUGUCAAAAACCCCAUCAGUACACGCUAUUAAUUUAUAAAUAGUAGAUUUAAUUAGCGCGCUGGAGGCCUGGCAGGCUCUGGUGUGUCCCGGCUGGAAGAUUCUGUAGUUGGGGUUCAUAGUUCAAGUGGCAAACAAGGGAAGUUACUUGAGUAAUGCAUAAAAAAUAGAGGAUAAAUCGGAAUGCCACGUGUACCCAGCACCUGGUUCUCCCUGCUAACAAGCAGCCGCAGUGGGAUCAGGUGUGUCUGGUCCUAAAUUAGUCCCAGCAGGUGGGGUAGAAACUCGGCUCUGGGUAAGAAAUUACUUCAGCGUGCGCCUGUUAAUAAUAAGCGGCUGUGUUAAAAAACAAGGUGUUAUUUUGGGGUCCUGUUUGCUACUGUCCAUCAGCCCUAAAAAGCCCUCACCAUCCAACUUUUUUUACAGUAAUGUUACUGGUUUUCAUUACUCUUGUACAGUAAUGUUACUGUUUUUCAUUCCUCUUGUUACAGUAAUGAAAGACUUGGGGUUCAUUACAGGAGGUGCAUGUGCUAAUGAGCAGGCCAGUUAAUGGGGCAGGCAGGGAGCUGUGCCUGCUGCUCCCCAGAGAGCUCCGGAGAAGGAACCCCAGGGAUGGAGUGUCGGGAUCAGGGGCAGGAACAAAAAAGAAUCCACAGGAAGUCAAGUGAGGAGAAAUUCCUUCUUUCAGGAAGAAAUGCGUGUGUGAGAUUUGUGGGUGUAAUUUGGGUAGCUGUGGAAUUCCUACAAGUUUUGUUAGAAUUCCUAAGCUUGGUCAGCAUGGCUGAGCAGGUCCCCUCUUGUUUGUGUUACCAGAUGCCAGUGGAGCUUCCCAAAUGGAAUCCCAGAAUGGCUGGGGUUGGAAGGGACCUUAAAUCCCAUCCCAUCCCACCCCUGCCAUGGCAGGGACACCUCCCACUAUCCCAGGGUGUCCCAGUGUCCAGCCUAGCCUUGGCACUGCCAGGGAUCCAGGGGCAGCCCCAGCUGCUCUGGGAAUUCCAGCCCAGCCAGGAAUUCCCAACAUCCCAUCUAAAUUUCUCCUCUGGCAGAAAUACUCUAUUGUUUUGGGUUAUUUUUAUAAAUGGCAUUUCUUGAAUAAUUUUUAAGCUUGUUUGCUGUUUGUUCCACAAAGGAAGAGAAUCAGGUCUGUUAUCCAGUGAAGACUCAUUCAGACCAAGUAGGAAAGGCUGUUGAGGAUAAAAGAGUUAAUUUGCUUUUUGUUGAGUGUGGGUGGUUGUGGGGCAGAGCAGCUGCACCUGGAGACAAUAAAUGCAAAUUUAGCUCAAGGCA